rnacentral:rRNA from 1 species
UACGUAGGGUGCGAGCGUUGCCCGGAUUUAUUGGGCGUAAAGGGCGCGUAGGCGGUCACGCACGUCCGUUGUGAAAUCGCUCGGCUCAACUGGGCGGGGUCAGCGGAUACGGCGUGGCUGGAGCAAGCUAGGGGGCAAUGGAAUUCCCGGUGUAGUGGUGGAAUGCGUAGAUAUGUGGAGGAACACCGAUGGCGAAGGCAGCCCCCUGGGCUAACACUGACGCUCAUGCACGAAAGCGUGGGGAGCAAACAGG